GCACGGGGAGGUAGUGACGAAAAAUAACGAUGCGGGACUCGGUCGAGACCCCGCCAUUGGAAUGAGUACACUCUAAAUCCUUUAACGAGGAUCGACCGGAGGGCAAGUCUGGUGCCAGCAGCUGCGGUAAUUCCAGCUCCGGUAGCAUAUGCUAAAGUUGCUGCGGUUAAAAAGCUCGUAGUUGGAUCUCAGUCUGGGCCGCGCGGUCUCGCCCGUGUGGCGGGUCUCGCCGCGGCCGGUCAAAAUGUCGGCCGCCCGGGAUGAUCUUGACCGGUUGUCUCGGAACGGCCGGCGAGUUUACUUUGAAAAAAUCAGAGUGCUCAAAGCGGGCGUUAACCGCCCGGACGCCCGUGCAUGGAAUAAUGGAAAACGACCUCGGUUCCGAUCUGUUGGUCCGCGAACUCGUGAGGUAAUGAUUAAGAGGAACGGCCGGGGGCGAUCGUACCGCGACGCUAGAGGUGAAAUUCUUGGACCGUCGCGAGACGCACCACAGCGAAAGCAUUCGUCAAGAACGCUUCCGUUAAUCAAGAACGAAAGUCAGAGGUUCGAAGGCGAUCAGAUACCGCCCUAGUUCUGACCUUAAACGAUGCCGACCAGCGAUCGGGCUGCGCUCACCACGAUGAGGCGCCCGGAAGCUUUCCGGGAAACCAGAGUUUCUGGGUUCCGGGGGAAGUAUGGUUGCAAAGCUGAAACUUAAAGGAAUUGACGGAAGGGCACCACCAGGAAUGGAGCCUGCGGCUUAAUUUGACUCAACACGGGAAAACUCACCCGGCCCGGACACGGGAAGGAUUGACAGACUGAUUGCUCUUUCUUGAUUCUGUGGGUGGUGGUGCAUGGCCGUUCUUAGUUGG
rnacentral:rRNA from 1 species